AUACGUAGGGGGCGAGCGUUGUCCGGAAUGAUUGGGCGUAAAGGGCGCGUAGGCGGCCGCUUAAGUCUGGAGUGAAAGUCCUGUUUUCAAGAUGGGAAUUGCUUUGGAUACUGGGGGGCUUGAGUGCAGGAGAGGUUAUCGGAAUUCCCGGUGUAGCGGUGAAAUGCGUAGAGAUCGGGAGGAACACCAGUGGCGAAGGCGAGUAACUGGACUACAACUGGCGCUGAGGCGCGAAAGUGGGGGGUGCAAACAGGAUUAGAUACCCUGGUAGUCCACACUGUAAACGAUGAAUGCUAGGUGGAAGAGGUAUCGACCCCUUUUGUGCCGGAGUCAACACAAUAAGCAUGCCGCCUGGGGAGUACGGCCGCAAGGUUGAAGCUCAAAUGAAUUGACGGGG
rnacentral:rRNA from 1 species